rnacentral:rRNA from 1 species
GACGAACGCUGGCGGCGUGCUUAACACAUGCAAGUCGAACGGAAAGGCCCUGCUUUUGUGGGGUGCUCGAGUGGCGAACGGGUGAGUAACACGUGAGUAACCUGCCCUUGACUUUGGGAUAACUUCAGGAAACUGGGGCUAAUACCGGAUAGGAGCUCCUGCUGCAUGGUGGGGGUUGGAAAGUUUCGGCGGUUGGGGAUGGACUCGCGGCUUAUCCGCUUGUUGGUGGGGUAGUGGCUUACCAAGGCUUUGACGGGUAGCCGGCCUGAGAGGGUGACCGGCCACAUUGGGACUGAGAUACGGCCCAGACUCCUACGGGAGGCAGCAGUGGGGAAUAUUGCGCAAUGGGCGGAAGCCUGAUGCAGCAACGCCGCGUGCGGGAUGACGGCCUUCGGGGUGUAAACCGCUUUCGCCUGUGACGAAGCGUGAGUGACGGUAAUGGGUAAAGAAGCACCGGCUAACUACGUG